UACGGAGGGUGCGAACGUUAAUCGGAAUCACUGGGCGUAAAGCGCGCGUAGGCGGUCUGUUAAGUGGGAUGUGAAAUCCCCAGGCUUAACCUGGGAAUUGCAUUUCAAACUGGCCGACUAGAGUACGGUAGAGGGAGGUAGAAUUUCCUGUGUAGCGGUGAAAUGCGUAGAUAUAGGAAGGAAUACCAGUGGCGAAGGCGGCCUCCUGGAUCGAUACUGACGCUGAGGCGCGAAAGCGUGGGGAGCAAACAGG
rnacentral:rRNA from 1 species